CACAGCUUGUUUUAUUUUCAAGUGAAAACCAACAGAAGCGGGACAAGGGUGCACGCUGAUAAAUUACACCAGGCAAUGCUACAUACCAACUAACAACAUCACAAUAUCUCAUCAAAGCAGGUCAAACAUCUCAAAAAAAAAAGGAAAGGAGUCAACAGUGGCUGCAGAGGACAAAACCUUCCCGAAACAUAAUAUAACUGAAAAUAAGACUUUUGGCAGGAGAUUGAUAUGUGUGGCAUUUCCCUUUCCAUCAUAUUGGAAUGGUGGGCCCAGUUACCAUAUUUUCCGGAGUAAACAUUGCGGUGUUUACU